GACGAACGCUGGCGGCGUGCUUAACACAUGCAAGUCGAACGGAAAGGCCCUGCUUUUGUGGGGUGCUCGAGUGGCGAACGGGUGAGUAACACGUGAGUAACCUGCCCCUGACUUUGGGAUAACCUCAGGAAACUGGGGCUAAUACCGGAUAGGAGCUCCUGCUGCAUGGUGGGGGUUGGAAAGUUUCGGCGGUUGGGGAUGGACUCGCGGCCUAUCAGCUUGUUGGUGGGGUAGUGGCUUACCAAGGCUUUGACGGGUAGCCGGCCUGAGAGGGUGACCGGCCACAUUGGGACUGAGAUACGGCCCAGACUCCUACGGGAGGCAGCAGUGGGGAAUAUUGCACAAUGGGCGGAAGCCUGAUGCAGCAACGCCGCGUGCGGGAUGACGGCCUUCGGGUUGUAAACCGCUUUCGCCUGUGACGAAGCGUGAGUGACGGUAAUGGGUAAAGAAGCACCGGCUAACUACGUG
rnacentral:rRNA from 1 species